rfam:Strongyloides venezuelensis genome assembly, scaffold: SVE_scaffold0000002
UUUUACGCUCAUAUCCUUCUGAAUGCACCAGAUCUCGUCUGAUCUCCGAUGUGAAUCAUCUGCGAGCUAUUUUAGUACUUGGAUGGGAGACCUCCUGGAAACCGUUAGUGGUGUAGGUC